UGGAAUUAUUGGCAUUGCUGUUCAAACAGAACAUUUCUGAAUCAUCUAACAUUAUUUUAUUUGGUUAAAACCCCCAGUGCACCAAAACACUACCAUCUCACAAUGCAUGUUCUUGGGCUCCUGACUACUGCCACCUCCUUGGAGGUACUUGAUGGAUUGGUAGAAAGUACAGCAGUCGUGUUUUCUAGUCCAUCAAGUGGGGAAAAUGUUGAAAAACAUUUUCAAAACCUUCAGUUGUGGCUGCAGAGAGCUACCUUACCAGUGGAGGAGUCUGACAAGUCAGAAAAAAGCACUGAAGACUUAAAGGAAACAAUCAAGGGAUCAAACAACUUUGCAACAACAUUACUGCAAAGUUGUAACAACAGCCCCGCUGGACGUCACUGGUGAGCCUCAUGUCUUUUAUUGUGAAGGACUUGUGGCUCACAUGACAACCUACCUUCUACCCUACACAGCCCUGUGGAGCGGGAUAAUGCUUGGGAACCUUGGACGACAUGGAAAAGGAAAGGCGUACAAAGAGAACACACGCAAACAUGAUGCCCUGAGAAAGCUCACAAGACAAAACAUUACACAGGACAACA